AUUGAACGCUGGCGGCAUGCCUUACACAUGCAAGUCGAACGGCAGCACGGGAGCAAUCCUGGUGGCGAGUGGCGAACGGGUGAGUAAUAUAUCGGAACGUGCCCAGUCGUGGGGGAUAACGUAGCGAAAGCUACGCUAAUACCGCAUACGAUCUACGGAUGAAAGCGGGGGAUCGCAAGACCUCGCGCGAUUGGAGCGGCCGAUAUCAGAUUAGGUAGUUGGUGAGGUAAAGGCUCACCAAGCCGACGAUCUGUAGCUGGUCUGAGAGGACGACCAGCCACACUGGGACUGAGAGACGGCCCAGACUCCGACGGGAGGCAGCAGUGGGGAAUUUUGGACAAUGGGCGCAAGCCUGAUCCAGCAAUGCCGCGUGUGUGAAGAAGGCCUGCGGGUUGUAAAGCACUUUCGGUGGGGAGAAAGAGGCUGUCCGUAAUACGGAUGGCGGAUGAUGUUACCCGCAGAAGAAGCACCGGCUAACUCUGUGCCAGCCGCCGCAGUAA
rnacentral:rRNA from 1 species